GAACUAGACCUCAAUUUGAGCAAGAUUACCCGCUGAACUUAAGCAUAUCUUGGAACACAUACGAAAGCG
rnacentral:rRNA from 1 species